CAAUAGCGUAUAUUAAAGUUGUUGCAGUUAAAAAGCUAGUAGUUGGAUUUCUGGUGGGAGCGAUCGGUCUGGCGCUUAGCGCGAGUACUUGCAUCGUCUCCGGCCAUCCUUGGGGAGAGUCUGUCUGGCAUUAAGUUGUCGGGCAGAGGAUCCUCAUCGUUUACUGUGAAAAAAUUAGAGUGUUCAAAGCAGGCUUAUGCCGUUGAAUAUAUUAGCAUGGAAUAAUAAGAUAGGACUUUGGUACUAUUUUGUUGGUUUGCGCACCAAAGUAAUGAUUAAUAGGGACAGUUGGGGGUAUUCGUAUUCCGUUGUCAGAGGUGAAAUUCUUGGAUUUACGGAAGACGAACUACUGCGAAAGCAUUUACCAAGGAUGUUUUCAUUAA
rnacentral:rRNA from 1 species